UAAAAAAGAAACCAUAGAGAAUGUUGCAACAGAACAAGUAGAAUUCCCAGAAGGAAGCCAAAAACACCAACAUUUCUAUUCUGGAAAGAAAAAUCAUCAGCCAUGAAGAGGUACAAAUUCAAGUUGAAAUUACACUUGAUGACAAGAUGUUGUUCCUAGCAAUCAAAUGGCUCUAUUCUGAUAGGUUCUUAUGUCCUCAAUUAUUAACCCAACUGUAGGAAUGAGAAGAACAGAUUAAAGCGAAGGGAUAGAUAUUGCGGAAGACUGAAAAUCUUCGUGAUGAAACCGGUCUGAAAUAUUUUAUUCGUUGAGAAGUAUAUACUCGUACAUGCCGAAAAUGUGGCUAUGAAGUAAGGGAUUGCUGGAUCAAAUGAAGCAUUUUAAAGCAAUAGCACAAGCACGUCAUGUGUCACCAUCUGUGCAAUGCAAAGUUCUUAUUUAAGCCAGCGACCGACAGGCGAAGAAUUGCAGUCUCCACAAGCCCUUCUGUUGGCAAUCGUUCAUUUAAUCGUUAAUUCACUAUAAUCAAAAGUACGAUGAAGUGAAGCUUAAGGGAAGUAGAUGGUCUUCGAACUUAACUUAAAUGCCUUCGAAUUCAUCAAUGAUAUAUUGCUGUCGAUGCCGUCAACAUAUUCAAUUUAAUUCAAACCCAACUCCAGGAAUAACUUCAUCAAUUUAGUUUUUUGAGAUAUUAUUUUUUUUAAAUAGAAGGUACUCAUAUACAUAUAAG